AGACUCGCGCACGUUCCAGGUGCUCGCCCUUUUCGUCCCUGGCGAAAGGGCAGUUCAACGGGAAACAGGGAGCCGGGCCGGCUGCGCGCCGGACAGGCCAACCUGUGCUGCCCCCGCAACGGUAAGCGACCGCGGUGCGCAUGCGCCAGCCACAUCGCUGGCACGGCCCGAUCCGUCAUCGGAUGCCAGGCCACAUGCCCGCAGGACCGGCCACACGCCACUGAACCGCAGGUUCGGGAAGGCGCCGGUUCCGUGUCGCCAGCCCGGAUACCGGCCUGAACGCGGGCUGCCGCC
rnacentral:ncRNA from 1 species